CCUACGGGUGGCAGCAGUGAGGAAUAUUGGUCAAUGGGCGGGAGCCUGAACCAGCCAAGUCGCGUGAGGGAAGAAGGUACUGAGUAUUGUAAACCUCUUUUGCCAGGGGACAAAUGCGGCCACGGGUGGCCGUAAGAGGGUACCUGUAGAAAAAGCAUCGGCUAACUCCGUGCCAGCAGCCGCGGUAAUACGGAGGAUGCGAGCGUUAUCCGGAUGUAUUGGGUUUAAAGGGUGCGCAGGCGGCGUGUCAAGUCAGCGGUAAAAUGUCGAGGUUAAACCCCGGCCGGCCGUUGAAACUGGCGUGCGCGAGCUGGAGAGAAGUAUGUGGAAGUCGUGGUGUAGCGGUGAAAUGCAUAGAUAUCACGAAGAACACUGAUUGCGAAGGCAGCAUACCGGAUCAACACUGACGCUGAGGCACGAAAGCGUGGGUAUCGAACAGGAUUAGAUACCCUAGUAGUC
rnacentral:rRNA from 1 species